GUAUACACCGGGGCUGGCUGGGGGCAGCCCAGACCUCUCUGUUUUCCGGGAUCUGGAAGCGAGGCCCGGCCUGCCCGCCACCCAGCCCUCUCGUGUGCUAGCAGGGAUGUGUCUGCAGCAGCCAGCAGGCGGGCGGAGGAGGUUUUUGGGAUGGGCUGCUUGGCAGGGAGGGAAGGGGCGAGUGCGUGUGGAAGAGGACAGAUAAACCAGCAGCGCUCCUCAGCUGCGGUGCAGAAGCAGGCCUCAGGUUUCCUCCCGGGGCUCUAACUUAGCGUGACGGAGCCCUUAUCAGCCGCACACAAGCACGGGGCAAAGAGCCGCCCCUGCCCGCUGCACCGGGCCCGUCCUGGGGCUGUGGGCUCCACGCGGGCUCUGCCCCGGCCUGGCACAGCUGCAGCCUCCCUCGGGGCUGAGCUGCUCGAAAGCCGCAGGAGACACAUGCAGGUGGCAGAACAAGGAGGCACAAGCCGCUGUCUGGCACCGGCGGGAUGAGGCCCCGGGGCACCUUGCCUUGGGGCUAGGAAUCUGCUGGCCACCCGCAUGCAGAAGCAGGCUCAGGAGAGACGCCACGUGCAGGGGCGCUGAGCUCUGCCCUGCGUUCCCAGCCCCACAAAGCAGGUGCCACUGGUGUGGGAUCUUUCCCAUCAGCCGAGCACCGGGGCGAGGCCGAGGCCGAGGCCCAUCGGUGGGUUCCCUCCCCGGCAGGACCAUCCUCCCUACAGCUCUGGUAGGACUUGAAAGCGGCCCGCCCUGCAAACCGUGGCCCCGCUAUUGUUUGCACUGAAGUCCAAAAGCGUGAAGAAGAUGAGUCCUCUUGUUCUUGUUUCUUUUUUUCCGGGCAGUCAAUAACUAACCUCCGGGAUCCGGCUGCUUACGAGGCACGGAGAGAGUUUCUAAAAGACGGCGAUAAAGACAAAAGCCCGUUCCCGGCACACCUGUAACCGUGGCCGGCUCGUCUCUGGCUGGAGGCUGCGCUGUAAUAGCAGGCAAGUCUGCCUCCUUGCCAGCACAGGACUGUUCCCAGCCACGUACUUAAUCCCUCACGUUUCUCUUGGGAGACCGUGAUUGAGACCGAUCAGUCUUUUUUUCUCCCUACGUACCGUGUAUCCUGAGAACCGCAAUGAAGACUGGAAAGCACGCGCAGUUUUGGCUGCUGUGAUCUCCUCUGGACUGAUAAGCAGAAUAACCCUGCUCUGCGCUUGCAGAGAAAGGUGGGAGAGUGUGCAGUGAGCCCCCGGGGCGCAGGAGGCUCGCCCCUCGGUGGGACACACUCGGUACCUCCAACUCAUCGGAAAGGCAGUGCGGGGCUGCAGCUCAGCCCUUUCUGUGCCCAGUCCCCGCAGAGCACAAAGCCGAGAGCGGGGCCUCCCUUCACCUGCAAGCAAAACGCACCAGCCCGCGGCCCUGCGCAGGCACUCCUGCCAAAAUACCUGCUUAGAGGCGCAUAGCACAAGGGCAGAUCCGUCAUGUGCUAAAAACCUGCUGCCCAGACCUGAUUCUCUGGCACUCUGACAUCAGCGAGUGUCUCUGACAUCGGUCGGGACGUGCUGCUGUCGGAGGAAGGGGAAUCAGGCCCAGCACUGGUGCACAUCUUCCCACAGGCAGGCAGGGCAGCACGCUUUGUUUAAACACGGCCUGCUGGUGGCUGCAGACAGGGAUCACUCCCAGCGACUCAAUCAACACGCAUAAUAUCCUGCGAGUUAGCUCCAGCCGUGGUAAAUAUCUCCACCAUGCUUUCCCUCCAAGCAAAUAUAGUACCUGCAUG